rnacentral:rRNA from 1 species
GAUGAACGCUGGCGGCGUGCCUAAUACAUGCAAGUCGAGCGAAUGGAUUAAGAGCUUGCUCUUAUGAAGUUAGCGGCGGACGGGUGAGUAACACGUGGGUAACCUGCCCAUAAGACUGGGAUAACUCCGGGAAACCGGGGCUAAUACCGGAUAACAUUUUGAACCGCAUGGUUCGAAAUUGAAAGGCGGCUUCGGCUGUCACUUAUGGAUGGACCCGCGUCGCAUUAGCUAGUUGGUGAGGCAACGGCUCACCAAGGCAACGAAGCGUAGCCGACAUGAGAGGGUGAUCGGCCACACUGGGACUGAGACACGGCCCAGACUCCUACGGGAGGAAGCAGUAGGGAAUCGUCCGCAAGGGACGAAAGUCUGACGGAGCAACGCCGCGUGAGUGAUGAGGGCUUUCGGGUCGUAAAACUCUGUUGUUAGGGAAGAACAAGUGCUAGUUGAAUAAGCUGGCACCUUGACGGUACCUAACCAGAAAGCCACGGCUAACUACGUGCCAGCCGCCGCCGUAA